rnacentral:rRNA from 1 species
GACGAACGCUGGCGGCGUGCUUAACACAUGCAAGUCGAACGGAAAGGCCCUGCUUUUGUGGGGUGCUCGAGUGGCGAACGGGUGAGUAACACGUGAGUAACCUGCCCUUGACUUUGGGAUAACUUCAGGAAACUGGGGCUAAUACCGGAUAGGAGCUCCUGCUGCAUGGUGGGGGUUGGAAAGUUUCGGCGGUUGGGGAUGGACUCGCGGCUUAUCAGCUUGUUGGUGGGGUAGUGGCUUACCAAGGCUUUGACGGGUAGCCGGCCUGAGAGGGUGACCGGUCACAUUGGGACUGAGAUACGGCCCAGACUCCUACGGGAGGCAGCAGCGGGGAAUAUUGCACAAUGGGCGGAAGCCUGAUGCAGCAACGCCGCGUGCGGGAUGACGGCCUUCGGGUUGUAAACCGCUUUCGCCUGUGACGAAGCGUGAGUGACGGUAAUGGGUAAAGAAGCACCGGCUAACUACGUG